GCAGUAAGCUGGACAGCCGCGCGGGCGGGGCGAAAGGCCCGCCAGUGAGGAAAGUCCGGGCUCCGCAGGGCAAGGAUAACGGGUAACACCCGCCGGGGGCGACCCUAGGAAAAGUGCAACAGAAAUAGACCGCCUCUCCCUUCUAUGGAUGGGUGUGGAGGCAGCGGAGCCGCCGUGCAGGCGGCUACCCUGUUUCUGCGUUGAGGUAAGGAUGGAAAGGCGAGGUAAGAGCUCACCCGAUGGCUGGGAACAGCCCAUCGCUGUAAACUCUAUCCGGAGCAACGCCGUGGGAACACACACAGACCGGCCCGGUCGUGUUCAGGAGGCGGCUUGAGCGCGUCAGCAAUGGCGCGUCGAGAUAGAUGGCUGUCUUAAAAGACAGAACCCGGCUUACAGGCUUACUGCA
rnacentral:RNase_P_RNA from 1 species